rnacentral:rRNA from 1 species
UAUACGACUCUCGGCAACGGAUAUCUCGGCUCUCGCAUCGAUGAAGAACGUAGCGAAAUGCGAUACUUGGUGUGAAUUGCAGAAUCCCGUGAACCAUCGAGUCUUUGAACGCAAGUUGCGCCCGAGGCCUUUCGGUUAAGGGCACGCCUGCCUGGGCGUCACGC